GAGUUCAACCUAGGCAGGUCCAUUCUAACAUUCUUUAUCCGCCAGUUAGGUUGUUUUGAUAACGCAAAAGAGCGAUGAUCUCUUUCUUCUCGCACAAUCUGAAAGUAUAAAAGGCGGCAAAAAUUGGCCUUCUGCAUCAGUCUACCUCCCAGACAGACCAACCUCAACCAACCGCCAAGAUGAUGAGACUCGUGAUCUUCGCUAUGAUCAUUGCCUGUGCUCUUGCCGCCGGCUACGGCAGCUAUGGCUACAGACGCGGCUACGGCUAUGCUGACGCCGGCUACGGCUAUGGCAAGGUCCACGCCUACGGCAACUACGCCGGUUACGGCCAUGGUUACGGUUAUGGCAGAGGUUAUGGCGGUUACGGAUAUGGAAGAGGCUAUGGCGGUUAUGGCCACGGCUAUUACGGAAAAAAGUAUUAAACUCGCAUGGAAGAACAUCAGCAUUAAUUAUAUAGUAUGACACCAAUAUUCAUCCCGCAUCAUGAUCGACAGGCUGAGCUCGACACAGACCUAGAUGGCGCCACCUUACAGGACGCAAACCCAGGACCUAGUCGAGUUUCCUGACAGAGGCCAACCUACCAAACCCGAACGACAAACCAUAGACAUUCGAUUUGCAGAAGCCAAAAGCCAAGUCCAUGCUAUUUUAUGUAUUAAAUUGUAAAAUAAAAACAUAAAAAUUA